UACGGAGGGUGCAAGCGUUAUCCGGAAUCAUUGGGUUUAAAGGGUCCGCAGGCGGAUUUAUAAGUCAGUGGUGAAAGCCUACAGCUUAACUGUAGAACUGCCAUUGAUACUGUAAGUCUUGAAUUCGGUCGAAGUGGGCGGAAUGUGUAGUGUAGCGGUGAAAUGCUUAGAUAUUACACAGAACACCGAUAGCGAAGGCAGCUCACUAGGCCUGGAUUCACGCUCAGGGACGAAAGCGUGGGGAGCAAACAGG
rnacentral:rRNA from 1 species